rnacentral:lncRNA from 1 species
ACAUUCCACCUCAGACACGACCUGUGAGACCCUCUCAAUAAGGGACUCGAACUUACUUUGCCAAAGGAUCCUUGGCCCAGAACCUUGAGGAGCUCAAACUGGGAUGGAUCGGCCUUCUCAGAGCCAGCCUUGACGUGGUGUGUGAUGGAGAUCUCCUUGAGGAUGGCCUCAUCCUGACAGAGGGACAGAGCUGGAUUGUAUGGAUGAGACUGAAGUACACAGAGAACCAAGAGUCAGCCAGACAUCCCCCAACCCACUCAGUGCCUAUCUGGAGCAAUUGAGAGUUACGGCCAGAAACCCUGUACCCUACCGAACUUCCCUUGAUAAGCAUUGGGUCACUGCUGUUUUAGGACCUCUCCGCCCUGCCAAUCUGCCUGCCUUGCGCUGAAGCACUGAGGUGGCUCCUCACUUCCCCAGGAAGUCCACUUACCGAGUCCUGCUGGGGACCAGGGCCAGGGCCAGGCAGAGUCUGGCUGAUCCUGGACCGCUGUUUCCCGAGCAGCCAAGGGAGCAGGGUCCUGAGCCGCAGACGGGGCAGCUUGGGGUCCUGCUCCAUCCGCCCGGCAGGGCCACAGCACCAUGGCAAGGGGCUCUGAUAACGGUCUGUGGUAGACGGCCUGUGGAAUUGUGAAAGACGCCUCCCCGAGACCAAAGCGCUGACUGCUUCUUCAGACAGGGGCAGCCAGCCCGAAGAUUCUCCACAAGCGCUUCUGCCAGGAUUCCCUCAACCCGCCAGCCCCCAUUAACAGGGAAAGAAGCACUGUAGCUACCAGAAGGGACGGGAAGAAGAAAAUGCACUCAGGAUUUCCUUAGUUGAACUGCGUGAGGACCUGAAGCCUCUGAUGAGGGGAAGGAGGGACACACUUAUAUUCCUGACCCUCCCCAGAGCAGCAGGAGGAAAAGCCUAUCGCCACACCAUCUGAUCUUGGUCCUCUCGGGCCUCCACUCAAGGCCUCUUGCUACGGUCAAGCCCACUUGUCUGUCGCUCAUCCUAAGGGCCACUAACACUCGCUUCCCCAGCUGGCAACAUCUGCAGGACCUCCCAGGUGGGAGACAACUGUCCUGCUACAGAGCUGCAGUUAAGAUGCUGUCGCUGCCCAGAGGUGCAGAGACGGUUGAGGGUGAAGACCUUCUGGAUGAAGACAGUCCAGCUGGGUCUUGAAGAUGAACAGGCAUGCGAUAGACAGAAAGGGACAGAAAGGGUCCACGCUGAGAAUGAGCGGUGUAAGCAAGGCCCAUGGGAAGUGGGGUAAUGGCUCCGUGCAAGUCACCUGCUCCCAGGCAAAAUGUCUACCUCAGUAUCUGCCUCUCCCCUGCCAAGAUGAAGGUUCAAACCA